CUCACUGUCCAGGUGGAAGGAUCAUACGAGGACAUGCGGUCGGAGAUCUACGGGGGAUUGGAAAAGUCCGGACUGCUCCAGAUGAGGUGCAAAUGUUCGGUUUGUUUGAUUCGACACCGGUAUGAAAGCAAGGACUUUCUCCCGAUGGUGAAUAAAUCGUCUUAGACUUGCUUCAAACUUUCACUCUUUUAAAUUGCCCUCGACAAUAUCCUUUUUUCCUCUGCGUUCCAGAGUUUGCGCUCCCCUGGUCCACAGCUUGAUGGUGGGUCAUAAACCACUUAGAUUUGUAGAGAAUGGGACAAAGACGGUGAACUUAACACCGGACUGCUUUACAAGCCUCACAAAAGCUUGCAGUCUGUGCGUCGGCACCUUGCAACCCUCGACUCGCUCUCGAGAGGUUAAAUAACGAGGGUUUCUUCUCAUCCUCUUGUGUGGAAUAUCUGUGCUGUGUGGCUCAUUUUAACUGGAAAGUUAUGUGUGUACAUUUACACUGGAUGCAGCAUUAUUUGCUCUCGGGGCCUCCAAGCCAAUCAUGUUUCCGUGUACGAGACCCAUCGGUCUACUUUCUCCUCGCUGUGUCUCAGCCUUCUUCUCUUUCACACGUUCAUAAACCCACUCCAACACCAACAAACACGGCAGCUUUCAGGCAGACAAUGGGGUUUUUUUUUUUCUUCUUUUUCACGCCAAAAGUCACACUGCGGCGACAACAGUUUCUCUGUUUGAGGUGUUAGUUUCAUGAGUUUUACAGUGCGUUUACCUCACUCGCAUGACGAGACGUCGAGGGAGCUUUGCCGCUAUGUUUUUCUGCACCAAUUCAACGUGUAAAAAUGUUUUCUCCGUUUGUGCUCCUGGUGUUUUUUGGGGGUGAUUUCUUAACUAACGUCAACAGUUUGUCAAUUGUGGUUCUGCUGAAACGAAACAGGGCUCUGUUUCGCUGACAUUCACGCGACAAGUGACAAUUUACCAUUUGUAUUCCUCUCGAGGUUUUUCUAAUGUGCGAUUUUGUCAACCCCUCCGAGCACCUAAAUUAAGCCAUUUGUUUGGUACGUAAAAUGUCUCUUUGCUCAGCAUGGCUGGUCUUAUUUAUGCUCACCACAAUAAUUAACUAUCUCUGUUCUUUAUAGAACAAUGAAUUGGAGAUUUAGCACUGCAGAUUAGCCUCAUCCCUGAUUGGUAAUGAGUAGCAUUUAACUGUGUUACAGCUCGUAGCAAACGGCGCCUUUAAUACCAUCUCCUUUGUCUCUGUUUUUGUGUUUGUCGAGUAUCCAUCGAUCAACCUCAGUAACUCUCUGUAUCUUUCUCUCUGUAUUCAAUUAAACGUGCUGUACCGGCUUCACCUUCGGGCCUUGCCUGGAGCCUGAAGGUGAAGCUUGAGAUGUACUCGCCGAUCUACGCUCCACCCCUCACCUUUAUCCACAAGCUCUGGGUCCAUGACCAGGAGGAUGAAUCUGCAGAUACAAGUUGACUCGUCCCUCAAAGUCCUCGCGGCGCAGCAUUUGCAUCUGUCAGCAGAUUCUCAGUGUCAGGGAUGUGCACCUGUGCAAGUGUCUCUCGCGUUAUCGACAAAAGAAAAUCCCUAUUAAAUGCUGUGAUGAUCUCCACGGCCUGACUCUCGAAGCUCCACAGGAGCGAGGAGGCCUCCAGAAGUGCUCGGGGAUGAUUAUUACAUGAGCAUCCGACGUGGAGGCUCCUUUCGCUGAACGUGAGAUCUGACGAGAUGAGACUGAUACAGCGCGCUGCCGCGGAGGCUUUGCAUCACCUCAGCAGUGCAGGGUGGCACCGGCCAGAUGACAGCACACAAUCGGGCAUGUUCAGGUGCGCAGGUGGAGGUCUUAAUGUGGGGAAUGCCGGCCAGAGUUGUGCCGUUGUGACGAUGCCCUCCCCUGGAUUACUGGAGAACGUACGGUAAUGGAUGCAGGUUGAAGGACAAACAUUUAGCUGUUAAAUUUUACCCUUGGGAUGUUUCAUUUUUAGAUGAUAUCCGGUGUUUACAACUGAGUACUGCUACUUAGUGAGCGGUGCUUUUGCUCAAUAAUUCACUCCACGUUUUCCUAUUUACAGAUUUGAGUGACUAUGGUGACUAAUAAUGUGUCUGAAUAAUUAAAAGUUAAAAGAGAAAUCAUCAAAGAGUCAUUAAGUUGAAAUAAAAGUCAUCCUUAGACAAAGUAGGCAAAAAUGAUGUCAGUGUCUUGUAUUGCAAAACAUUUUGCUCAAUUAAUGUCGUGAAUCUUGGAUUGAUAACAUUCAUCUCUCUUCCGUAACUUUUUUGGACUCAAAAUGAACAAAAUAAAUAUAUCAGGAAUAAGGAAACAUUUAUUGCCCAAAUAUAUCAAACAUACAAGGAAUUUGUCUUGGCAGUUGGUGCGUGACAGUAGACAGUGUAACAAUAGACAACAAGACAGCAGUGCACAAGUAAUAAAAUAAAGUAAAAUGAAAUGCUAAUGCAAUGGGUUAGUAGAAUAAGGC
ensembl:lncRNA